rnacentral:rRNA from 1 species
ACAGCUCAAAUUUGAAAUCUGGGUCUUUUAGGCUCCGAGUUGUAAUUUGUAGAAGAUGCUUCGGGUGUGGCUCCGGUCUAAGUUCCUUGGAACAGGACGUCAUAGAGGGUGAGAAUCCCGUAUGUGACUGGUUGCCUUCGCCUAUGUGAAGCUCUUUCGACGAGUCGAGUUGUUUGGGAAUGCAGCUCAAAAUGGGUGGUAAAUUUCAUCUAAAGCUAAAUAUUGGCCAGAGACCGAUAGCGCACAAGUAGAGUGAUCGAAAGAUGAAAAGCACUUUGGAAAGAGAGUUAAACAGUACGUGAAAUUGUUGAAAGGGAAGCGCUUGCAACCAGACUUGCACGCUGCCGAUCAUCCGGGGUUCUCCCCGGUGCACUCGGUUGCGUUCAGGCCAGCAUCGGUUUGGGUGGUUGGAUAAAGGCCUUGGGAAUGUAGCUUCUUUCGGGGAGUGUUAUAGCCCUCGGUGCAAUGCAGCCUACCCGGACCGAGGACCGCGCUUCGGCUAGGAUGCUGGCGUAAUGGUUGUAAGCGACCCG